AAGUCGUAACAAGGUUUCCGUAGGUGAACCUGCGGAAGGAUCAUUAGUGAACACGGCGCAAGCCGUUACACAACCACACACACUGUGAACCGUGGCUUCGGCCUCUUCAAACAAUGUUGUAUGAAUGUCAAUUAUUAUAAUACAAAAAAACUUUCAACAACGGAUCUCUUGGCUCUCGCAUCGAUGAAGAACGCAGCGAAAUGCGAUAAGUAAUGUGAAUUGCAGAAUUCAGUGAAUCAUCGAAUCUUUGAACGCAACUUGCGCCCUCUGGUAUUCCGGAGGGCAUGCCUGUUUGAGUGUCAUGUGGCCUCAAUCCCCCGGGUUUCCGGGAAGAUUGGACUUGGGCGUCUGCCGUGCCACACGGCUCGCCUUAAAUGACUUAGUGGGACCACUGACUGUAGUCGGGAGUAAUAAGUUUCUCUCGGUCACGUCGGUUCAACCGCUCAUAACUCUGUGUUUACACAAUUUAUGACUCUGACCUCAAAUCAGGUAGGACUACCCGCUGAACUUAA
rnacentral:rRNA from 1 species